UACAGAGGUCUCAAGCGUUGUUCGGAUUCAUUGGGCGUAAAGGGUGCGUAGGCGGCGCGGUAAGUCGGGUGUGAAAUCUCGGGGCUUAACUCCGAAACUGCAUUCGAUACUGCCGUGCUUGAGGACUGGAGAGGAGACUGGAAUUUACGGUGUAGCGGUGAAAUGCGUAGAUAUCUGGAGGAACACCGGUGGCGAAGGCGGCGUUCUGGACUGCAACUGACACUGAGGAACGAAAGCCAGGGGAGCAAACGGG
rnacentral:rRNA from 1 species